GUUGGUAAUGGAAUAAAGGACGCAUG
rnacentral:piRNA from 1 species